CAAAUAACGAGGGGGAGGAGGAGAAAGGAGGGGAAGGCUCCUCUCAAGUCUGUGGUUAAAAGGAAUGAAUGUCUCAACCGCCCAGCCCCCAGCCGAAGGGCUCUGACCCACGCAGCAGAGACAAAGGCCACCUCCGAAAUGGACAGCAGGCACUCGGUGACAGCUAGCAGUGAAGUCUUUUCAAGAUGUAAAUCCCCGCGAAGUUUGCCAGAAUCUAGUCGACACCCCCGUGUGCUUUCAUCCACUGCCGAUUCUUUGCCAUUUCAAACCUCAUGGACACCAGAAGGAAGAGCUAGCGGCUGUCCCAUGAAGUCCACACAGGAACUAAUUCUACUGCCAGAGAAGGAAAUCUUCCCUGUCCCCACCCAGACACUAUGGAUUGCAGUAGACCAUCAUCUGCUGGGUGUUUCAUAGCCUUUAAUUUUCAGAAUGGUCGUUUGGGUGUGUGGGGGGAUUAUAUUGUUCCUACGCCACUGACGUGUAUUUAAAUGAGAGUUCGACUUUUAGUUUGUAAGUUGCACCGACAUCUGGAGCUGGUGGAUGGUUACAGACCUUGAGUGGGGUGCAGUGAGAUUUGGGGGUUCUCUACUGGGCACAGGUGAGUGUGUUCUAUAUAUGGAAAGAAGGAUGUAUAUAGGGUACCAUGGGACAUACUGCCCGAACUGGAACACUUCUGUAUAUUAUCUCUUCAUAUAUUAAUGUAAGUAUGCACGCAUGUUUAUUUUAAUUGUGUUAUUGAGGUAUAGUCGGCAAAUCAAAAAAUUGCACAUAUUUCAGUAUACAGAUUGAAGAGUUUUGAUGUUUGUGUAUGUCCAUGAAACUGUCUCCACGAUGAAGAUAAACAUAUCUGUUCCCCUUCCCAAAACUCCUUGUGUCCCUUGGUAAACUUUCUCUCCUGUCUCUACCUGUACCCCACCUCUCCAGGCAACUACCCAUCUAUCUCUGUCACCAUUUGUGAGCCUGCAUUUUUUAGAAUAUUAUGUAAAUUUUACAUAGAUCUAUAUAUAAACACUAUACUCUUUUUUGUCUGGCUUCUUUCAUGCAGCAUAAUUGAGAUUCAUUUUUGUUGUAUUCUCAGCAGUUUAUUCCUUUAUAUUGCUGAGCAGUGUUUUUUUCUUACUUUUUUUUUUUCAUUUAAAUUCAAUUAAUUAACAUAUAAUGUAUUAUUGGCUUCAGAGGUUGAGAACAGUGACUCAUCAGUCUUGUAUAAUACCCAGUGCUCGUUACAUACAUCACGUGCCCUCCUCAAUGCCCAUCCCCCAGUGACUCCAUCCCCCACCCCUCCAGCAACCCUCAGUUUGUUUCCUGUGAUUAAGAGUCUCUUGUGGUUUCUCUGAUUUUGUCUUGUUUUAUUUUUUCCUCUCUCCCCCUAUGAUCCUGUUUUGUUUCUUAAAUUCCACAUAUGAAUGAGAUCAUAUGAUCAUUGUUUUUCUUUGAUUGACUUACUUCGCUUAGCAUAAUACCCUCUACUUCCAUUCCCUCCAUUGCAAAUA